GACGUAGGGCGCAAGCGUUGUCCGGAUUUAUUGGGCGUAAAGAGCGUGUAGGCGGCUAGAUAGGUCCGUUGUGAAAACUCGAGGCUCAACCUCGAGACGCCGGUGGAAACCAUCUAGCUAGAGUCCGGAAGAGGAGAGUGGAAUUCCUGGUGUAGCGGUGAAAUGCGCAGAUAUCAGGAAGAACACCCGUGGCGAAGGCGGCUCUCUGGUACGUGACUGACGCUGAGACGCGAAAGCGUGGGGAGCGAACAGG
rnacentral:rRNA from 1 species